rnacentral:rRNA from 1 species
GGCUCAGGACGAACGCUGGCGGCGUGCCUAACACAUGCAAGUCGAACGGGGAUUUGUUCGGCAGAAUCCUAGUGGCGAACGGGUGAGUAACGCGUAGGCAACCUGCCCUCCGGCCGGGGACAACACUCCGAAAGGGGGUGCUAAUACCGGAUACGAAGUCUGUGCCGCAUGGUACGGAUUUGAAAGAUGGCCUCUAUUUAUAAGCUAUCGCCGGGGGAUGGGCCUGCGUCUGAUUAGCUGGUUGGUGGGGUAACGGCCUACCAAGGCGACGAUCGGUAGCCGGUCUGAGAGGAUGAACGGCCACAUUGGGACUGAGACACGGCCCAGACUCCUACGGGAGGCAGCAGCUAAGAAUAUUCCGCAAUGGGGGGAACCCUGACGGAGCGACGCCGCGUGAACGAUGAAGGCAAGAGAUGUUGUAAAGUUCUUUUAUCGCUGAAGAAUAACCGGUGCAGGGAAUGGCACCGGGAUGACGUUAGGCGAUGAAUAAGCCACGGCUAACUACGUGCCAGCCGCAGC